rnacentral:rRNA from 1 species
AUUGAACGCUGGCGGCAUGCCUUACACAUGCAAGUCGAACGGCAGCACGGGUGCUUGCACCUGGUGGCGAGUGGCGAACGGGUGAGUAAUACAUCGGAACAUGUCCUGUAGUGGGGGAUAGCCCGGCGAAAGCCGGAUUAAUACCGCAUACGAUCUACGGAUGAAAGCGGGGGACCUUCGGGCCUCGCGCUAUAGGGUUGGCCGAUGGCUGAUUAGCUAGUUGGUGGGGUAAAGGCCUACCAAGGCGACGAUCAGUAGCUGGUCUGAGAGGACGACCAGCCACACUGGGACUGAGACACGGCCCAGACUCCUACGGGAGGCAGCAGUGGGGAAUUUUGGACAAUGGGCGAAAGCCUGAUCCAGCAAUGCCGCGUGUGUGAAGAAGGCCUUCGGGUUGUAAAGCACUUUUGUCCGGGAAGAAAGCCUUGGCCCUAAUACGGUCGGGGGAUGACGGUACCGGAAGAAUAAGCACCGGCUAACUACGUG